rnacentral:rRNA from 1 species
ACGCUCGACACCUACGGGAGGCAGCAGUGGGGAAUAUUGCACAAUGGGGGAAACCCUGAUGCAGCGACGCCGCGUGAAGGAAGAAGUAUCUCGGUAUGUAAACUUCUAUCAGCAGGGAAGAAAGUGACGGUACCUGACUAAGAAGCCCCGGCUAACUACGUGCCGGCAGUCGCGGUAAUCUGAGCGGGCUGGCAAGGC